rnacentral:lncRNA from 1 species
UAAUUCAUAUACAUUAGGUCAUUGUUCUCUUUUCUCAAAAUAAGGCUAAACCUUAAUUGCUCCAAUCGCUGUUAGACAGUGAUGACUUAUGGGACCCAACUUCAUUAAUUAGUAUCGAAAGUUGAAUUUGGUUCAGCAGUACGAAUGGGUUCGUAUUGGGGCUUCUUAGUCCAGUCAAAAUAAUUAGUCCAAAAUUGAUCCAAAUCAGGCAU